CCGGGCUGGGAGACCCGCGCUGGGGAGAAGGUGCGGGGACCGGGCGGGCCGCUGGGGCACAGGCCGGGAAAUGAGCGCUUGGAAAUCUGUCUGGGAGCGGACUCAUGAUCGAGGGACUACAGGAGCCGUGUGAUCGCUGGACCUGGCCCUGCGACCCCGGCCAUGGGCCAGACCUCGGUGUCCACGCUGUCCCCGCAGCCCGGCAGCGUUGACGGACUGGACAAAGCUUCUAUAGCAAACUCAGAUGGCCCCCCAGCAGGUUCCCAAACACCUCCCUUCAAGAGAAAGGGGAAACUCUCCACCAUCGGGAAAAUCUUUAAGCCUUGGAAAUGGAGGAAAAAGAAGACCAGUGACAAAUUUAGAGAAACCUCAGCAGUGUUAGAAAGGAAGAUAUCCACAAGACAAAGUAGAGAGGAGCUGAUAAGAAGGGGAGUUCUUAAGGAAUUGCCUGAUCAAGAUGGAGAUGUAACAGUUAACUUUGAAAGUUCAAACGGGCACAUGAUAGCCAUCGGAGAGGAAUCUACCCAUGAGGAAAAUGUAGUAAAGUCUGAAGAAGGUCAUGGCUCUGUAUCUGAAAAAACACCACCUCUGGAGGAAAAGGCAGAAGAUAAGAAAGAGAACACUGAAAACCACUCUGAAACACCGGCAGCUCCUGCUCUUCCUCCUUCUGCUCUUCCUAAGCCUAAACCUAAACCUAAACCCCCCAAAACACCUGUGCCUCCAAAAGGGGCCACUGCGGGGCCCAGCCACAAAGGUGACGAAGUGCCUCCCACUAAAAAAAUUACCAAGGCUCCUGGUAAGCAGGUCCCCGUCCCUCCACCCAAGCCAACAAGCCGAAAUGCGACCCGAGAGGCUGCUGGUUCCUCUCAUUCAAAAAAACCAACUGGCUCCAAAGCAUCAGCUUCACCAUCUACUUCAUCCACUUCAUCUCGUCCCAAAGCUUCAAAGGAGACAGUUUCUAGCAAAACAGGGACAACGGGGACCACAAAGGGCAAGAAAAAAACUGGCAAGCAGCCAGCAACGUCUCGACUGUCCUCAGACACAACCACUUCUGUCACAUCCGACCUUAAAGGAGAACCUUUGGAGACUGAUGUAGAGACUCUCAAACCCGAGCAGACUGUCCCUGGGGCCGAGGAGCAGGCCACGGGCAAAGCCAAGUCCACAGUUCCUCCACCCCCUGUGGCUCCUCCACCUUCUCCCCCUGUUCCUCCUCCACCUCUUGAGGAUCAGUGCAUUAUUGCCUCAGACACUCCAGUGGUCCUGGUCAGCAGUGGAGCUGACCUGUCCGUCUCUGCCUUAGACCCAAGUCAGCUUCUUUGGACAGAAGAGCCGACGAACAGAACCACUCCCCACUCAGGCGCUGGCUUAAGUGUUAGCAGAGAAAACGCAAAAUGUUUCACAACCAAAGACGAGCUGGGGAAGGCAGCACCCCAGCUACUGACUCCUGGGCUGAUGGGAGAAUCUUUGGAAUCCUUCAGUGCCCCAGAGGAUGAAGGCCAAAGGGACUACCAGGCCAAUGAUUCUGACUCCGAUGGGCCUAUCUUGUACACCGAUGACGACGAGGAAGAGGAUGAGGAUGAGGAUGGCAGUGGAGAAAGUGCUUUGGCAAGUAAAAUACGACGAAGGGAUACUCUUGCUAUCAAACUUGGCAACAGACCAUCUAAGAAAGAAUUAGAGGACAAAAACAUCUUGCAGCGUACAUCUGAAGAAGAGAGGCAGGAAAUCCGACAACAGAUUGGAACCAAGUUGGUCAGGAGACUUAGCCAGAGGCCCACAACUGAAGAAUUAGAGCAAAGAAAUAUCCUAAAACAAAAAAAUGAAGAGGAAGAGCAGGAAGCAAAGAUGGAACUUAAACGCAGACUCAGCAGAAAGCUCAGCCUGAGACCCACAGUGGCAGAGCUACAAGCUCGAAGAAUCCUGCGGUUUAACGAGUAUGUAGAAGUCACCGAUUCCCCUGACUAUGACCGCCGGGCAGACAAGCCCUGGGCCAGAUUAACACCUGCGGACAAGGCAGCAAUAAGGAAAGAACUAAAUGAAUUUAAAAGCACAGAAAUGGAAGUUCAUGAAGAGAGUCGACAGUUUACAAGGUUUCAUCGUCCAUAAUGAAGUGCAAGACUAUUUGGAAACAUAAAUUGACCAUCUUUGACGGAAGCCCUGCUUCCUGAAAACCUGAUAUUGCACUGGGACUUGAAUGUGUUUGUUUCCACUGUGGUGAAUGAUGCACGUGACUUGGCUUUGUUGGAAAGUGCUCCUCACCUGUACAGCCCAGAUGGGGCCAACAAGCAAAAGGAAGGAUGCAGUGGUCCUUGCUGCCCAGAAAGUGUAUUGAUGUUCUUCAGGGAGGAGGUUACCGGGCAGCCUUGGCAGUUCCAGUGGGCAUAGUGACCUGGUCUGAUCCUGGUACGUACUUAAAGGAGAGAUUUUACAUGAAGUGAGGUUUUGUGUUUUUUGGUUUUCAUUUUCAUUUUUGUUUUUUGCCUCACAGUUUUACUCCAGAACUACAUUGUUGGUCAUAAUCUUUAUCAAUAUCAUCAGGAUUCUUGCAUGAGUUAAACACAAACACAAUGACUAACAAUCCACAUAAACAAAGCCCGUGGACUUUGGAAAUCACCAUUAGAUUCUACCUGGUAACACUGCAUUCAUUGAGUUCCAAAAGAAUCACCUGUUUAUCCUAUCAACAAAUCAUUUAAUCCACAUGCAAGUACUUGAAUUCCCCCUGUGUAAGUGUAGUCAUACAGCUUAACUUUUCUAAUAAGAUUUGUGAAUACUGCAUUAUGAAGGAAAUGUGGAUUAACUGUGGAUUGUAUGCAUAUUGUUCAUACUUCAGUGAUGGUCACACCCAAGAUAAGAUGAGUUUUAUCUAGGUGAAACAUUAUUAAACUCUACUAACAAUACAGAAACAUAAUUAAACUAUACUAACAAUACAGAAACAUUCUUAUUCGUUGUCGCUUUUUAUCACCAAAACUGAAUACUAAAUAUGUCUUGAAAUUAUUUGGAUGCAUUGUGGCUAGUAGAAUGGAAUUAAUUUAGCCACUAUAAUUUUUUUAAAUAGUAAAAUUUCUAUGUAUUUUUUUUGCAGCAGAGCAGCUCAGAGUUGAUAAAGGUAUUUGUAAGCUUUUAGAUGGUGCUUAAGAAUUCUUAUCUUUUUUAAAAGCAGUAUUUUUUUUUUUUUUUUAAGAGUAAAUUGAAAGGAGUAAAUGAGGCGGAAUGCCACUCCAACCUCAGGUCAAUUUUAUGGUAUUUUGAAAUGCCAAUAAUAUUUGUGCCACUUGCCAAUUUGGGGGGCUUUUUCCUGACUGGAUACUUUUGUUGUAAUUUGACUAUAUCAUUACAUUGCUUAGAAAGCCUCCACAAUGAGAAGUUACCACUGCAAUGCCAACUAGCUUUUGGAAAUAAUCAGAAUUUAUUGAGGGUCAAACCACUUUCGCCACUUAAAAAAAAAAGCACUAAUUUUUCUUUUCUUCUUGAAUAUUUCUUCUGUGGCUUAGAAAUGUGCCAGUGUGUUCCAAACAUUCUGCGCCCAUUUCACCAAAUUUAGUACCUGCAAAAAAUUCCAAACUAGUCAUUUCUUUCUACAUAACAGUGAUUUUAAAUAAGGGACUAUAUGUGUUCUUUUGUUAUUUCAAACUUCAGUUAAAGUGAUAAGAAUGGUAAGCUGUGAUCAUUAUCAAACUGACUGAAAGAUUCCUGAUGUCCAAUGACUGAUCUAUUCCUACGUAUUACACAGGUAUAAUAUCUGUGAGUGUAAAUAACUGGAACUGUACACUGAUUAACAUGACAGUUUCUCUUUUUUGUUGUUCUUAAUCUGUACUGUAUUAUAGUAUGUGGGUAUAAAUAUCUACAAGUAUACACACAUAUGUAUAUGUAUUCCAUGACUGUAUCCUGAAAGAAAGACUAUGUAUUAUCUUUUUUAUUCCGUACUGGUGUUUGUGUUAUUUAAAAAGCAAAA